AAUCUUGCGCAAUGGGCGAAAGCCUGACGCAGCAACGCCGCGUGGGGGAAGAAGGCUCUCGGGUCGUAAACCCCUUUCAGCAGGGACGAAAAUGACGGUACCUGCAGAAGAAGGACCGGCCAACUACGUGCCAGCAGCCGCGGUAAUACGUAGGGUCCGAGCGUUGUCCGGAUUUAUUGGGCGUAAAGAGCUCGUAGGCGGUUUGGUAAGUCGGGUGUGAAAACUCAGGGCUCAACCCUGAGACGCCACUCGAUACUGCCAUGACUAGAGUCCGGUAGGGGAAUGUGGAAUUCCUGGUGUAGCGGUGAAAUGCGCAGAUAUCAGGAGGAACACCAACAGCGAAGGCAGCAUUCUGGGCCGGUACUGACGCUGAGGAGCGAAAGCAUGGGGAGCAAACAGGAUUAGAUACCCUGGUAGUCCAUGCCGUA
rnacentral:rRNA from 1 species